rnacentral:misc_RNA from 1 species
AAGUCGUAACAAGGUUUCCGUAGGUGAACCUGCGGAAGGAUCAUUAAAAAAUUUCUUGCUGUUGGGGGAUGUCUUGAACCCAGCGCCUUGAAACCCUCCGUGUACUUAUCUCUGUUGCUUCCCGGGUGCGUGGGUAAAACCCGCGCCCGGGGAGGUCCACAUAAACUCUUUUUUAUUAUUGCAGUCAGUAUUAGCGGCUCGUCCGCGAAAUAAAAUUAAAGUUAAAACUUUCAACAACGGAUCUCUUGGUUCUG